UACGUAGGGUGCAAGCGUUAAUCGGAAUUACUGGGCGUAAAGCGUGCGCAGGCGGUUAUGCAAGACAGAUGUGAAAUCCCCGGGCUUAACCUGGGAACUGCAUUUGUGACUGCAUGGCUGGAGUGCGGCAGAGGGGGAUGGAACUCCGCGUGUAGCAGUGAAAUGCGUAGAUAUGCGGAGGAACACCGCUGGCGAAGGCAAUCCCCUGGGCCUGCACUGACGCUCAUGCACGAAAGCGUGGGGAGCAAACAGG
rnacentral:rRNA from 1 species